rnacentral:rRNA from 1 species
UACAGAGGGUGCAAGCGUUGUUCGGAAUUAUUGGGCGUAAAGCGCGUGUAGGCGGCUUGGCAAGUCGGGUGUGAAAUCCCUCAGCUCAACUGAGGAAGUGCGCUCGAAACUGCUUUGCUUGAGUGCAGGAGAGGUUAACGGAACUUUCUGUGGAGGGGUAAAAUCCAAAGAUAUAGAUUGGAACACCGAUAAGGCGAAGGCAGUUAACUAUUCUGUUACUGACAUUGAGGCACGAAAGCGUGGGGAGCAAAACGG